UACGUAGGGUGCAAGCGUUAAUCGGAAUUAUUGGGCGUAAAGCGUCCGUAGGUGGCUAGUCAAGUCUGCGGUCAAAGACUGGGGCUUAACCCUGGAAAGGCCGUGGAAACUGACGAGCUAGAGUGCAGUAGGGGUAGAGGGAAUUCCCGGUGUAGCGGUGAAAUGCGUAGAGCUCGGGAAGAACAUCGGUGGCGAAAGCGCUCUACUGGACUGCAACUGACACUCAGGGACGAAAGCUAGGGGAGCGAAUGGG
rnacentral:rRNA from 1 species